AUUGGCUUGGCAACUAAGUGAUUGCGGAUUUUGUCAUUACCACUCAAUGACAAAAUCCGCAGUCACUUAGUUGCCAACCCG
rnacentral:pre_miRNA from 1 species